rnacentral:lncRNA from 1 species
CAGGUGAGGAAACAGGGACACACCUUCCCGGAGGAGGGGCAGGGCCCCUCCGCGCGCGAGCCCCAUUGGUGUGAAAGAAGCUCCCGCGUCAGAGCUGGGAAGUGCCGGGCCGGCGGGGAGGGGAGCCCGGGCGCACGGGCCAGGCCGCGGGCUGUCCCAGGGAGCCCCGAGGGCGCGGUGCGCGGGCGCAGGUCGGGCGCAGGCGGGGUGACCCGGGGAAGGGGCGCGCACAGAGACAGAGGGAGCCAGCCGGGCCCCACGGUGUCCUCGGACGCCUCCGAAAUCUCCCUGCGUGUUUGUUUCUUCGGAGCUUCACCGGAGCCUGACUCUGGAACCGGCCUGUCUGCCUGCUGCAGUCUGUCAUUCAACAUUUAUUCAACCAAAAAUACUAAGUCAGCUCUAUACAAACUAAUGGAAGGAUACAGCUAUGCAAAUAUAGAACACUAAAGUGUUACAUGACAGAUGUAUGAGUCUUGGAUAUGUCUUUAUCAGCAGUAUGAAAACUGACUAAUACAGUAAAUUGGUACCAGUGGAGUGGGGCGCUGCUGAAAAGAUACCUGAAAAUGUGGAAGCGACUUUGGAACUGGGUAACAGGCAGAGGUUGAAACAGUUUGGAGGGCUCAGAAGAAGACAAGAAAAUGUGGGAAAGUUUGGAGCUUCCUAAAGACUUGUUGAAUGGCUUUGACAAAAAUGCGGAUACUGCUAUGGACAAUAAGGUCCAGGCUGAGGUGGUCUCAGAUGGAGAUGAGGAACUUGUAGGGAACUGGAGCAAAGAUGACUGUUGUUAUGUUUUAGCAAAGAGACUGGUGGCAUUUUGCCCCUACCACAGAGAUUUGUGGAACUUUGAUCUUGAGAGAGAUGAUUUAGGGUAUCUGGCUGAAGAAAUUUCUAAGCAGCAAAGCAUUCAAGAGGUGAUUUGGGUGCUGUUAAAAGCAUUUCAUUUUAAAAGGGAAACAGCAUAAAAAUUUGGAAAAUUUGCAGCCAGUUGAUGCAGCAGAAGAGAGAAACCUGUUUUUUGAGGAGAAAUUCAAGCUGGCUGCAGAAAUUUGCAUAAGUUACAGGGAGCUGAAUGUUAAUCUCCAAGACAAUGGGGAAAAUGUCUCCAGGGCAUGUCACAGGUCUUCAUGGCAGCCCCUCCCAUCACAGACCCUGAAGACUAGGAGGAAAAAAUGGUUUUGUGGGCCAGGCCCAGGGUCCCCAUGCUGUGUGCAGCCUAGGGACUUGGUGCCCUGCAUCCCAGCUGCUCCAGCCAUUGCUAAAAGGGCCGAGGUACAGCUCUGCCCGUGGUUUCAGAGGGUGCAAGCCCCAAACCUUGGCAGCUUCCAUGUGGUGUUGAGCCUGCAGGUGCAUGGAAGUCAAGAAUUGAGGUUUGGGAACCUCCAUCUAGAUUUCAGAAGAUGUAUGGAAUCACCUGGAUGCUCAGGCAAAAGUUUGCUCCAGGGGCAGAGCCUUCAUGGAGAACCUCUGCUAGGGCAGUGUGAAGGGAAAUGUGGGGUUGGAGCCCCCACACAGAAUCCCUACUGGGGCACCACCUAGUGGAGCUGUGCAAAGAAGGCCACCGUCCUUCAGACCCCAGAAUGGUAGAUCCACCGACAGCUUGUACCGUGCACCUGGAAAAGCCACAGACCCUAAACGCCAGCCCGUGAAAGCAGCCAGGAGUGGGGACUAUACCCUGUGAAGCCACAGGGGCAGAGCUGCCCAAGACUAAGGGAACCUACCUCUUGCAUCAUUGUGACCUGGAUGUGAGACAUGGAGUCAGAGGAGAUCAUUUUGGAACGUUAUAAUUGGACUGCCUCGCUGGAUUUUGGACUUGCAUGGGGCUUGUAACGCCUUUGUUGUGGGCACUUUCUCCCAUUUGGAAUGGCUGUAUUUACCCAUUACCUGUAUCCCCAUUGUAUGUAGGAAGUAACUAGCUUGCUUUUGAUUUUACAGGAUCAUGGGUAGAAGGGACUUGCCUUGUUUCAGAUGAGACUUUGGACUACGGACUUUUGGGUUAAUGCUGAGAUGAGUUAAGACUUUGGGGGACUGUUUGGAAGGCAUGAUUGGUUUUGAAAUGUGAGAACAUGAGAUUUGGAGGGGCCAGGGGCAGAAUGAUAUGGUUUGGCUGUGCCCCCACCCAAAUCUCAACUUGAAUUGUUAUCUCCCAGAAUUCCCAGGUGUUGUGGGAGGGACCCAGGGGGAGGUAAUUGAAUCAUGGGGGCCGGUCUUUCCCAUGCUAUUUUUGUGAUAGUGAAUAAGUCUCAGGAGAUCUGAUGGGUUUAUCAGGAGUUUCUGCUUUUGUUUCUCUCUCAUUGUCUCUUGCCGCUGCCAUAUAAGAAGUACCUUUUGCCUCCCACUGUGAUUCUGAGGCCUCCCCAGCCAUGUGCAACUCAGAACUGGGAAGAAAGGACCCUGAAAAGUUAGCUGGUUCCAAGUGACCCUCCAAGGGGAAGAGUGCUGGAUUCAGAGCCCACCUCAGGGGAAGACAGGACCCUCUCCAAGAUGGUUUCCCUAGAAGCUACUACCUCUCCCUGGAGGGUGGAGAUAUUUGCUGGUCAAAGCAAGAAGGCCCUCUGCAGAUGCUGACACCUUGAUAUUGGACUUCCCAGAUUCCAGAACUCUGAGAAAUAAAUUUCUAUUUUAAAUAAAUUACCCAGUCU